rnacentral:rRNA from 1 species
CCUACGGGGGGCAGCAGUGAGGAAUAUUGGUCAAUGGGCGUACGCCUGAACCAGCCAAGUCGCGUGAGGGAAGACUGCCCUAUGGGUUGUAAACCUCUUUUGUCAGGGAGCAACGCCGGCUACGUGUAGCCGGACGGAGAGUACCUGAAGAAAAAGCAUCGGCCAACUCCGUGCCAGCAGCCGCGGUAAUACGGAGGAUGCGAGCGUUAGCCGGAUUUAUGGGGUUGAAAGGGUGCGUAGGCGGAAUGCCAAGUCAGCGGUAAAAUCGCGGGGCUCCACCUCGCUCCGCCGUUGAAACUGGCGUUCUUGAGUGGGCGCGACGUCUGCGGACUGCGUGGUGUAGCGG